rnacentral:misc_RNA from 1 species
CAACCCUCGGUCACCACCGGUUUUGAGCGAGCUGGGCCCCUCUCGGGACCCCGCUGGCUUUAAAGUUGUAAGCUCUGCUGGCUGCCAGGCCCCGAUCAGAACAUAGUAAAAAUUUUUUCGCUUGUUCGCCAAGGUCAGGUUUGAGCGGUACGGCCUGAACAAAACCUACCAAUUCUAAG